UAGGGAAUCUUCCGCAAUGGGCGAAAGCCUGACGGAGCAACGCCGCGUGAGUGAUGAAGGUCUUCGGAUCGUAAAACUCUGUUAUUAGGGAAGAACAAAUGUGUAAGUAACUGUGCACGUCUUGACGGUACCUAAUCAGAAAGCCACGGCUAACUACGUGCCAGCAGCCGCGGUAAUACGUAGGUGGCAAGCGUUAUCCGGAAUUAUUGGGCGUAAAGCGCGCGUAGGCGGUUUCUUAAGUCUGAUGUGAAAGCCCACGGCUCAACCGUGGAGGGUCAUUGGAAACUGGGAAACUUGAGUGCAGAAGAGGAAAGUGGAAUUCCAUGUGUAGCGGUGAAAUGCGCAGAGAUAUGGAGGAACACCAGUGGCGAAGGCGACUUUCUGGUCUGUAACUGACGCUGAUGUGCGAAAGCGUGGGGAUCAAACAGG
rnacentral:rRNA from 1 species